AUUAAAAACAGAGCUGCUUCACGUGAAGGUGAUGGUUUCCAUUUGGAACCCUGUCCCGGCUUUGCCUUUUCUCUGUCAUCCUGAAGGGAGAAAUAUCUUCCAUAGCUUCAAGAGGGAGAAACCGAGGAUCAGAAAGUCGCCUAACUUGCUCAAAGUCUCCCCUGAGAGAACGAGGCCCUGGGAACCGGACCAAGCUGGAAUCAGGGAGUAGAUAAUGUGACAUGAAGUGCUGGAGCCACCCACCGUGGGCUUCCAGGAUAGCGCCCUGGCUGUGGGAGCACCGUGACCCUGGGAGGCUGACACGGACUCCAUUCUCUUGACAUGACACUGGCUGGAGAAGCUCCAGCUCUGAAAUGUUCUAUUUUUCCAUGCUGGUGGUUCAGCCAGCACAUGGGAAAAUGGACUUGGGUGGGGCCGCCUGGCAGCAGAUCCAAACUGAAGUGGGAAUCGGUCCUUGAAGGCCAACUGUGAAAACGUACGUGGGCCCACAGCCCAGAUGCCCAAAGGACACUGGGAAGCACGGAAAUGGGAUCUACAACACUCUUAGUGACACACGGAAAACACCCCUUAUCCAACUUGGUGUUUCUUUUUUUUUGUGCGCUGAGGUUGGGCCAUGGGAAGGGCCACCGGACAUCUGCUCAGACCAAUGAGAAAUGGCUGAGACACAGCAUGUGGAUGAACCUAUUUCAAAGAUGCUGUAGAUUUUUGUGCUUGAUUGAUAGAUACAUUUCUUAAAAAGAAAAGAUAAGAAAUUGUAGGCUUCUUAUGAGGCAAAGUAGCUAGCUUUGAGUGGGCUCCUGGGAUGUACCAAUCACUGAUUACUUACGUCUUCUAAUUGCUCCGGUACUUCUGGAAGCUAGGCGUCCUCCGCCUGGGGGGUUGCAGGGGAAGGCUGGGGCUGAGAAGAGAGGGCCAGGAACCUCCACUGAAACAUCCACUGCCCUGCUUCUCAACUUGGUCCCACACUGGAAUCCCUUGGGGAUAUUAUAGAAAGACUGAUGCCUGGGCCGCAUUCCAGGCAAAUCAAAUCAGAAUGUCUGCACCCCCCCAUCCCUACGUUUUAACACCCUCCCCAGGCAUCCUGCCGUGCAGCCAAGGUUGAGAAACACCACACUAGUCGAAUCUGACAUAUGAAGAAAUUAAGUGUCCAGACCAGACUCUCACUUAGCCCUUCUUCUGCCACAUUAAAUAGCUUCUCUCUCUCUCUCGCUCGCUUUUUUUUUUUGUAAUUUUGCCAUAAAUUAAAAGCACACUUCAAAAUGUAGGUUUACCAAGUACCUUUAAGAAAUGGAUUUCCUGGGGCGCCUGGGUGGCUCAGUCGUUAAGCGUCUGCCU